UGGACAAUGAAAUAAACUCGUUGGACCCGGGGGCGGUACCCGGCGCCUCCACCAAGAUAUAGUUUUUUUGCUAUAUUUUGGUGGGGGCGAAAUAGGAUCGACAAGAGUGUAAAGAUUGCUCUUUUACUCGGCAUUGUACCACCGUUAUCGGGCUAAAUGAGUAGUUGCAAAUGACAACUAUGCGGAAGCACGUCUCGCCGCUUAAGGUGGUGUGAAUGUUUCAAAUUAAGCCUUAAACCGUCGCAGGUUUAAGCGGGGUUCGAAGGCACC
rnacentral:tmRNA from 1 species